rfam:Medicago truncatula strain A17 chromosome 4, whole genome shotgun sequence.
UUUGAUGUGAAUUGAUUUAUGUUUGGAUACACUCACUUAAAAGUGAUUCUUAUGAGUUGAUGUUGUUUGAAUAA